rnacentral:lncRNA from 1 species
UACACAGAUUUUCUCUCAGUAUGUUUCUAAUUUAACUUCUUAAUUAGCCCUAACUCCUAUGAGUGCAGUAAGGAACAAGCAUCUAACGUAAGGUUUGGAUUCCACUGUUGGACCCAGCUAUCAAAGCAGGCUGCUGGUACACGACAGCGUAAUCUCCAAAAAGAGGAUGGUGACAAGCAACUUCAGCUGAUAACCUUUUUUACUUGCACAAUUACCCCUAGAAGAUACUCGUUCACAGCUUUGCGCUCUGUGAGCGUACACUGGAA